rnacentral:rRNA from 1 species
UCGGGUUGUAAAGCACUUUUGUCCGGAAAGAAAACUUCUGCAUUAAUACUGCGGGAGGAUGACGGUACCGGAAGAAUAAGCACCGGCUAACUACGUGCCAGCAGCGCGGUAAUCGUAGGGUGCGAGCGUUAAUCGGAAUUACUGGGCGUAAAGCGUGCGCAGGCGGUUCGUUAAGACAGAUGUGAGAUCCCCGGGCUUAACCUGGGAACUGCAUUUGUGACUGGCGAGCUAGAGUAUGGCAGAGGGGGGUAGAAUUCCACGUGUAGCAGUGAAAUGCGUAGAGAUGUGGAGGAAUACCGAUGGCGAAGGCAGCCCCCUGGGCCAAUACUGACGCUCAUGCACGAAAGCGUGGGGAGCAAACAGGAUUAGAUACCCUGGUAGUCCACGCCCUAAACGAUGUCAACUAGUUGUUGGGGAUUCAUUUCCUUAGUAACGUAGCUAACGCGUGAAGUUGACCGCCUGGGGAGUACGGUCGCAAGAUUAAAACUCAAAGGAAUUGACGGGGACCCGCACAAGCGGUGGAUGAAGGUGGAUUAAUUCGAUGCAACGCGAAAAACCUUACCUACCCUUGACAUGGUCGGAACCCUGCUG